rnacentral:sRNA from 1 species
CAACCGCUUAGAGACACUUCCAUUACCUUCAGAUAUUAUAUGUGGAAAAACAUCACCAUGUCGUCCCCUCCAACUCCAACACCCAACCCCCUCAUCGACCUCCCUGAAAUCCUCCUCCUUUGCAGAGAAAAGGAAAACAUAGUUGCCUUCCAGGACGCCCUCCGCAAGCACUGGCCCGCGAUCACCUUCUUCUCCCCUUCUUCAUCCACCACCACCUCCCCCCAACCGACCCAACAAGCCGAGCAAAAGCUAAAAAUAAUCCCCCUCAAUGAACGCCUUAACACCGUCCCACAUACCCAACCCUUCGACCUCGUCGUUUCCCCCGCCAAUUCCUAUGGCCGUCUUGACGGCGCCUUCGACGACGCCAUCUCCCGCACCUUCUGUCUGCCCGACCACCCGUACCUCACCUUGACGCGUGCUGCGCAGAAAACGCUCUACGAGCGCUGGCGCGGCUAUGCGCCGCCGGGCACCUGCACGCUUGUACCGUUUCCGGAAGAGAUUGUGAAAGCGGGGAAGGCGCUGGGGGGCUGUAGGUGGGUGGCGCUGUGUCCGACGAUGCGCAUGCCGGAGAAUGUGGUGUGGGAUCGGGAGGUUGUUUAUAAGUGUGUGUGGUCGUUGAUGGGGGAGGUAGAGAAGUGGAAUCGAG